rnacentral:rRNA from 1 species
GACGAACGCUGGCGGCGUGCUUAACACAUGCAAGUCGAACGGUGAUGCUCCAGCUUGCUGGAGUGGAUCAGUGGCGAACGGGUGAGUAACACGUGAGCAACCUGCCCCAGACUCUAGAAUAAGCGCUGGAAACGGCGUCUAAUACUGGAUACGAAACUGGCCCGCAUGGGCAUGGUUUGGAAAGUUUUUCGGUUUGGGAUGGGCUCGCGGCCUAUCAGCUUGUUGGUGAGGUAAUGGCUCACCAAGGCGACGACGGGUAGCCGGCCUGAGAGGGCGACCGGCCACACUGGGACUGAGACACGGCCCAGACUCCUACGGGAGGCAGCAGUGGGGAAUAUUGCACAAUGGGCGAAAGCCUGAUGCAGCGACGCCGCGUGAGGGAUGACGGCCUUCGGGUUGUAAACCUCUUUCAGCAGGGAAGAAGCGAAAGUGACGGUACCUGCAGAAGAAGCACCGGCUAACUACGUG